rnacentral:rRNA from 1 species
CCUACGGGCGGCAGCAGUGAGGAAUAUUGGUCAAUGGCCGUAAGGCUGAACCAGCCAAGCCGCGUGAAGGAAGAAGGAUCUAUGGUUUGUAAACUUCUUUUAUAGGGGAAUAAAGGUAUCCACGUGUGGAUAUUUGCAUGUACCCUAUGAAUAAGCAUCGGCUAACUCCGUGCCAGCAGCCGCGGUAAUACGGAGGAUGCGAGCGUUAUCCGGAUUUAUUGGGUUUAAAGGGUGCGUAGGUUGUUUUUUAAGUCAGCGGUGAAAGUUUGUGGCUCAACCAUAAAAUUGCAGUUGAAACUGGAAGACUUGAGUGUGUUUGAGGUAGGCGGAAUGCGUGGUGUAGCGGUGAAAUGCAUAGAUAUCAGGCAGAACACCGAUUGCGAAGGCGGCUUACUAGGCUAUAACUGACACUGAGGCACGAAAGCGUGGGGAGCAAACAGGAUUAGAUACCCGGGUAGUC